GUUCUUAGGUGCUGAUUUUAGCUUCCAUCAAUGCUGCGUGGCGAUCACUGUCAUCCUCAUACACUGCAGAUGGUGAUGCCACCCCAUCAAGACCGGGAUUACGUGAUCCUCGGCCACUGCCGUGACCUACGUGCUGGGUACACAGGAGGCUCAGUAAAUAGUUGCCAAUUAAAUAACUGUAUGCACUACAAGGAAAGAGAUAGUCUGCAAUUCCAAACAGUGCUGCAGACUUCUCCAAGCCCGGAGUCAGUGUAAGUUUGGAAUGCAAUCAGUCUAGUUUAGAAAUUCAUUAUCCAAAGUGAGGAGCCCAGCGAAUAUUAUAGUUUCAUAAAUAUGCAGAUUUUGUUUAUUUAAACAUUUUUUUAUUACACUUUGUGUUUUCCUAAAUUGGGUCAUCAUUUUAAUAUAAUUGGAAUCCGA